UAAGAUUGUUGCAGCCCUUAAGCUGUUCUAGUUGUUCUGUAGGAUGUUAAUAUUACAAGCUUGACAAGUAGUGGAAUUCUUGAAGACCCUCUUAGUUAGAUACAUAUAUGGAACUUUCCUUUUACAAGUACAAAUUAUAUACAUAUAGACAUACAUACAUAUAUAUACAUAUACAUAUACAUAUACAUAUACAUAUACAUAUACAUAUACAUAUACAUAUACAUAUACAUAUACAUAUAGGCCUUAUCAUUCAUAUAACAACUGCUGGCGAAGUGUUAAAACAGGCCAUCCGAGUGAAGUAGAAUUUUCGUGUUCCGAAGUUGCUUAGCUAGUUGUGGAAUGCUUGUGCCAUAUAUGAACUCUUGUUGUAAAAGAGUUCAAGAAAAAGCAAGGAUCAAAAGUAUAUUAAAUGUAGAAUCAGUAUCGGGUCAGAUCAGAUCGGACUCUCUUGGCCUUGUUUGCUACGUACAUACAUCAUUAGCGUGAUUCUAAACAGUUCAACUUGCUCAUUCUUUUGCAGCCUUAUCUUAUUCAACAUCCUGUUCUAGCCAGUCGGGCCUAAGGUUUCUGGUGGUUGAUAGGUCGCUUAACAAUGGUGUAUAUGAUUCUCAAUCUCUUGAGGUAACUGAAGAAGGGUGUGUUGGAAACAG
rnacentral:lncRNA from 1 species